ensembl:rRNA 5S_rRNA 5S ribosomal RNA
GCCAGCAGCCAAGUCACCCUGCAGCUCACAACUGGCAGCCCACUGAAGCUCAGCAGGUGUGAGCCUGGUCAGUACCUGGAUGGGAGACCUCCUGGGAAAAACUACGGUUGCUGCUGUAA